GACGAACGCUGGCGGCGUGCUUAACACAUGCAAGUCGAGCGGAGCGGCGAACGGGUGAGUAAGGCGUGAGUAACUGCCCCCCUCCCUGGGAUAACAGUUGGAAACGGCUGCUAAUACCGGAUAGUGGGGGAUGACUCGCGGCCUAUCCGCUUGUUGGUGGGGUAGUGGCCUACCAAGGCGACGACGGGUAGCCGGCCUGGGAGGGAGACCGGCCACAUUGGGCAUGGAUGCGGCCAGAACUGCUACUGGAGGAAGGAGUGGGGAAUAGUGGCCGAUGGGGGAAGCCUUGAUGGAGCAACGCCGCGUGGGGGAUUACUGCCUUCGGGUUGGAAGCCGCUUUCGGCCAUGACUCGGUAGUGGCAGAAGAAGCACCGGCUAACUACGUGCCAGCCGCCGCGGUAUUC
rnacentral:rRNA from 1 species